rnacentral:rRNA from 1 species
UACGGAAGGCAGCAGUGGGGAAUAUUGCACAAUGGGCGCAAGCCUGAUGCAGCCAUGCCGCGUGUAUGAAGAAGGCCUUCGGGUUGUAAAGUACUUUCAGUCGUGAGGAAGGUGUUAAGGUUAAUAACCUUAGCAAUUGACGUUAGCGACAGAAGAAGCACCGGCUAACUCCGUGCCAGCAGCCGCGGUAAUACGGAGGGUGCGAGCGUUAAUCGGAAUUACUGGGCGUAAAGGGCACGCAGGCGGUUAAUUAAGUUGGAUGUGAAAUCCCCGGGCUUAACCUGGGAAUGGCAUUCAAGACUGGUUAGCUAGAGUCUUGUAGAGGGGGUAGAAUUCCAUGUGUAGCGGUGAAAUGCGUAGAGAUGUGGAGGAAUACCGGUGGCGAAGGCGGCCCCUGGACAAAGACUGACGCUCAUGUGCGAAAGCGUGGGGAGCAAACAGAAUUAGAUACC